GACGAACGCUGGCGGCGUGCCUAAUACAUGCAAGUAGACCGCAGUUGCGAACGGGUGAGUAACGCGUAGGUAACUGCCUCAUAGCGGGGGAUAACUAUUGGAAACGAUAGCUAAUACCGCAUACUGUGAGAUGGACCUGCGUUGUUUUAGCUAGUUGGUGAGGCAAAGGCUCACCAAGGCGACGAUACAUAGCCGACCUGAGAGGGUGAUAGGCGACACAGGGACAGGGAAACGGCCCAAGCGCCUACGGGGGGGAGCAGUAGGGGAGUAUAGGCAAAGGAAGGAAGUCUGGCCGAGCAAAGCCGCGGGAGUGGAGAAGGGUCUAGGAUCGUAAAGAGCAGGUAAGAGAGAAGCGGGAACUAACCAGAAAGGUACGGCUAACUACGUGCCAGCAGCCGCGGUAAUUC
rnacentral:rRNA from 1 species